AGAGUUUGAUCCUGGCUCAGGACGAACGCUGGCGGCACGCUUAACACAUGCAAGUCGAACGAAGUCCAGCGGAGCUUGCUCUGCGAAGACUUAGUGGCGAACGGGUGCGUAACACGUGAGAAAUCUGCCCCGAACUUGGGAAUAACAGUUGGAAACGACUGCUAAUACCGAAUACCUUCACGACGUCGCAUGGCGAUGUGAAGAAAGCUUUAUGCGGUUUGGGAGGCUCUCGCGGCCUAUCAGCUUGUUGGUGAGGUAACGGCUCACCAAGGCAUCGACGGGUAGCUGGUCUGAGAGGAUGAUCAGCCACACUGGGACUGAGACACGGCCCAGACUCCUACGGGAGGCAGCAGUGGGGAAUAUUGCACAAUGGGCGCAAGCCUGAUGCAGCGAUGCCGCGUGCGGGAUGAAGGCCCUAGGGUUGUAAACCGCUUUCAGUAGGGAAGAAAAUGACGGUACCUACAGAAGAAGGUGCGGCCAACUACGUGCCAGCAGCCGCGGUGACACGUAGGCACCAAGCGUUGUCCGGAUUUAUUGGGCGUAAAGAGCUCGUAGGCGGUUCAGUUAGUCGGGUGUGAAAACUCUGGGCUCAACCCAGAGACGCCACCCGAUACUGCUGUGACUUGAGUACGGUAGGGGAGUGGGGAAUUCCUGGUGUAGCGGUGAAAUGCGCAGAUAUCAGGAGGAACACCAGUGGCGAAGGCGCCACUCUGGGCCGUAACUGACGCUGAGGAGCGAAAGCAUGGGUAGCAAACAGGAUUAGAUACCCUGGUAGUCCAUGCCGUAAACGUUGGGGCACUAGGUGUGGGUCUCAACCAACGAGAUCCGCGCCGCCGCUAACGCAUUAAGUGCCCCGCCUGGGGAGUACGGUCGCAGACUAAACUCAAAGGAAUUGACGGGGGCCCGCACA
rnacentral:rRNA from 1 species